rnacentral:rRNA from 1 species
GAGCGGCGGACGGGUGAGUAACGCGUGGGUAACCUGCCUCAUACACAUGGAUAACAUACCGAAAGGUAUGCUAAUACAGGAUAAUAUAAGAGAUUCACAUGGAUUUCUUAUCAAAGCUCCGGCGGUAUGAGAUGGACCCGCGUCUGAUUAGCUAGUUGGUAAGGUAGUGGCUUACCAAGGCGACGAUCAGUAGCCGACCUGAGAGGGUGAUCGGCCACAUUGGAACUGAGACACGGUCCAAACUCCUACGGGAGGCAGCAGUGGGGAAUAUUGCACAAUGGGCGAAAGCCUGAUGCCAGCAACGCCGCGUGAGUGAUGAAGGCCUUCGGGUCGUAAAACUCUGUCCUCAAGGAAGAUAAUGACGGUACUUGAGGAGGAAGCCCCGGCUAACUACGUGCCAGCCGCAGC